UACGGGGGGGGCAAGCGUUGUUCGGAAUUACUGGGCGUAAAGGGCUCGUAGGCGGCCAACUAAGUCGGAUGUGAAAUCCCCAGGCUCAACUUGGGAACUGCAUCCGAUACUGGAUGGCUUGAAUUCGGGAGAGGGAUGCAGAAUUCCAGGUGUAGCGGUGAAAUGCGUAGAUAUCUGGAGGAAUACCGGUGGCGAAGGCGGCAUCCUGGACCGACAUUGACGCUGAGGAGCGAAAGCUAGGGAGACAGCAAGGGG
rnacentral:rRNA from 1 species